rnacentral:rRNA from 1 species
AGUGAACGCUGGCGGUAGGCCUAACACAUGCAAGUCGAACGGCAGCACAGUAAGAGCUUGCUCUUACGGGUGGCGAGUGGCGGACGGGUGAGGAAUACAUCGGAAUCUACUUUUUCGUGGGGGAUAACGUAGGGAAACUUACGCUAAUACCGCAUACGACCUACGGGUGGAAGCAGGGGAUCUUCGGACCUUGCGCGAUUGAAUGAGCCGAUGUCGGAUUAGCUAGUUGGCGGGGUAAAGGCCCACCAAGGCGACGAUCCGUAGCUGGUCUGAGAGGAUGAUCAGCCACACUGGAACUGAGACACGGUCCAGACUCCUACGGGAGGCAGCAGUGGGGAAUAUUGGACAAUGGGCGCAAGCCUGAUCCAGCCAUACCGCGUGGGUGAAGAAGGCCUUCGGGUUGUAAAGCCCUUUUGUUGGGAAAGAAAAGCAGCAGGUUAAUACCCCGCUGUUCUGACGGGACCCAAAGAAUAAGCACCGGCUAACUUCGU